rnacentral:tRNA from 1 species
CGGCCCAUGGCUCAAUGGUAGAGCAUUCGACUCAAUUACCAAAGGUCUUGGGUUCGAAUCCUAGUUGAUCCA